UACAGAGGUCCCAAGCGUUGUUCGGAUUCACUGGGCGUAAAGGGUGCGUAGGCGGUCGGGUAAGUCUGAUGUGAAAUCUCCAAGCUCAACUUGGAAAUGGCAUCGGAUACUAUUCGGCUCGAGGAAUGGAGGGGAGACUGGAAUACUUGGUGUAGCAGUGAAAUGCGCAGAUAUCAGGAGGAACACCGGUGGCGAAGGCGGGUCUCUGGGCAACAACUGACGCUGAGGAGCGAAAGCGUGGGGAGCGAACAGG
rnacentral:rRNA from 1 species